rnacentral:lncRNA from 1 species
GCGGCGACCUCUCCCGUGUCCCCGCCCGCCGAAGUUCGCUCCUGGAGAAACCCGCUGGCGCCCUCAGAGCGCAGGGGAGGAUCUCAGCGGAGCUCGGGCUCCGCGCAGCUCGGCGAGUCGGAGCCAGGAUUCCGGCCGCUCCCGCCGCGGCAACUCGGGCUGGGAGAGGCGGAGCGCGGAGCCCGCGGCGCGGAAGGGAGCGGGAGGUGGCGCGCGCUGCGCCCCUCGCCCCGCGGUUGCAGCCGCCGCCGGACCUGGCGCCUCCAGCAUGGAGUGGGAGCUCAACUUGCUGCUCUACCUGGCUCUCUUCUUCUUUCUGCUCUUCCUACUUUUCCUCCUGCUCUUCGUGGUCAUCAAGCAGCUGAAGAACUCCGUGGCCAGCACGGCCGGGACGCUGCAGCCUGGGCGCCUCUCCCUGCACCGCGAGCCCUGGGGCUUCAACCACGAGCAGGCGGUGUGAACCUCGGUUCUUCCCGCUCCCAGAUGCUUUUUCCUAGAUUUACGUCACCUGGAGAGGAGCUGCUGCUCUUAGCAGGUGCCCCAGCGACUACAGUUCCACUUACUGCCUGGAACCCUGCUAGAAGGCUGGGAGGAUGGGAGAUGGAAGCUCUCUGCAUGUCAGUCUCACUGAUGUCCUGCAGCUUAACCUGCCUCAAGUUUUCCUUGCAGGAGAUCAUAGAGAACUCUGGGUGAGUAGUUUUUUGUUAUCUCGAUGUAAGCCAACCUCUCUGUGGGCUCUGUCGACACAGCCUCCUAAGAAAGGAGAUCUUGCCUUUCUAUCUUGUGUCCCAUGCCAUUUUAUAACAUCUGUGUAAACUAGCUGAUUCAUUACUAAGUUCUUGUUUAUUCAGCAGAAAUGAAUACUUAUUCCUAUUAUCCCAGUUUGCUUGGAGUUUGGCCCUAACAGUUGGGAACUGAAAUUCUUUACAUUUUCCCUCAAAACUUGUUGCUGUUGGUCUCCUCCCUUGCCCUUGCUUUGUCAGAGACUCUGCUUUUUGAAAGGUUUGACACCUGUAUAUGAAUUACCUUUUCUUAUUCUUUUAUUCAACCUUCAUUUUUCCAUGGACAGCUAAGACUGAUCUCCUGAAGCAGAGCUAUGUUUGAACUCACAUUUUUGGCUAUCUAUAUAAAUGCUUGGCCUAGAUUUAGUGCUCUGACAUCCAUCAUGGUCUAGGUCCCAAAUGUCUAUGUAUUGGAUACUCCAGCCCCUGACGACAUUUUAGUUCUGACAAUCGCUAUGUCAAGUCUUACUUUUAGGGUAAAUAUGAAUUAGGUAUUAAAGGAUUUGAAAAGUAAGGCAUAUUUAAGAUAACUGCUCAUUUCAUAAAUGUGACUUAAUUAUAAAAUAUUCCUGUUUUAUUUUCAAUAAAAGGUUCUUAGCAUUAGAAGUUGAACUGAGUUUCUUACACUGAGAGGAAAUGAGCCAAAAUUCUGUAAUUCAGUAUUAAUAUUUUAUUUCGAUUAUUCUUGUUUCAUUGUUGUUUCUAAAUUGCAGCUGUUCAAAACAACUUCAGAUCUUCUUAAGACAAUCUUGACCAUUUCCUUAAUUUCCAAACUUGUAAGUGCAACAGAUCUAUAGUUCCACUUGGAAAGAUACCAUUUUGAGUUGAAUGGGAAUGACAUCACACACACACCUGCAAAAUCCGAAGUGUUUAAUAAAGUAGAUUCAUAUGCCUGAACUUCAAUUUUAGGGCACAGCUGUAGAUGCAGGGCUGAUGCCAUCUGGUGUGACUCCACAGAAUGAGAGAUAAAAUUUACCCAGAGUGUGCCAUGCACUCACUGGCUUUUCUGGGAAUGACAAGGUGCCAGGAUUUGUUUUUGGUUCACUUGCAGGGGUGGAAACUUGGAACUAGGUAAGUAAAAAAUACGCAAUACCCUAUUUUUAACGUGACAUUCUAUGUUCUCAAUUUUGUCUAUAGUUUCAAAAUAAGUGCACUGGAGUUAAAUUUUAAAUGAUUCAAAUUUUAAGCAUUGUAAAUGGUUAAACCAUUUAGGAUACCGGGAAAUAUUUAUUUUUACUAUGUCAUACUUCUAAUCUAGGGACUUUCAGGAUAUUGAAGAGACCAAUAUAGUACAUAGAAAGUAUCUGCAGAGUUCUGUAUUUUGUUUUUAAUUUUGUAGCUUGUCUGAGGUACUUAUGCUUAUUUAAGCUAAAUCCACAAUUAUGAUCAUUAGAUGCCAUUGUCAGGUGUCUACAUCAUACACAAGGGCAAGUUAAGAGUUGAGUUACACAUCUUUGAUAUAGACUUUGUUUUUGUUUGAAUCAGUGAAAUGAAUUCUUUAACUCUCCAUUUCUUAUUUUGUCUAUACAAAAGAAAGGAAUAGAUCAAUGCUGAUCUGAUUAUGAAUAUGAGUAUCUUAUCAUGCAGGAAUACAGUAACCUGGAUAUUCAGAGGCAGGCAGACACCUGUGUUUGGAAAGUAAUCAGAACAUAAUAGGAGCUCAGAAAUGCUUCCUGGAUGGAUUAAACUUAAAAAAGUCCUCUUAUUUUCUUGAAUAGCAGCUACUUUAUUUAAUGAACCUGGUUGUUUCUGCUAUUCUUGGUCUUACUGACAGAUCCUUAAGCCAUGCAUGGACUCAUAUCUUCACGCUCAACCUUUGUUUUAUUGGUAAAAUUAUAUGAAGUUACUUGAGCUUUUGAGUUGGGAAAAUUCUUUAGGUCAGAUUUAUUUUUUUUUUAACUCGUAGUUGGAAAUCUCACUUUCUCCUUGAGACUCAAGGUGAAUCAUUAUCUUGCUAACAGAAUAGGAAGUUAUUAAACAUUUAUUUCACCGAAUUAGAGGUUUGUUCUUUUCUCAGGUAACUCACAUUUGACGUGAACCGGUGAUAGGUAACUGCUAGAAUUUGUUCAGCAGUUCACAAUUGUCGAGCUCUAACCCUCAGCUUUCCCUUCUAGGUUCCAAGAUGGUUUCUGCAGCUCCCCACAACAAGAAGGAAGACAUGCAGAGGGAAAGCAGAGCCUUCCAGUUCGAAUGCACUUCCUUUUAAAGAUUUCUCAGCAGCCCAACUUUUACUUACAUUUUAUUGGCUGAAACUGUGUCACUGGCUGCUACUAUCUGCAAGAUUGCUUGAGCAAUGUAGAUUUUGUAGCUUUCAACCAAAAUCUAAGUUUUCUUGGUAGGAGGGAUUAUGGUAGAUCUUCAGUGAACAACUAGUGGUCUAUGCGCUGGUUAUAAAAUACAGUUGUACAAGAGCAUAAUAUGUAAAACAGAUCAACACAGUAGCUUCCUCACUGGCAAAACAAGCAACACUGCUCAGCUCUGAGUAAGCAGGUUUUCUCAUGCCAGGUUUUCUCAUGAAACACUUGUCAGCACUGACCCCUCUGCCAUUCCCUGCCUCAGGAUUCCCUAGAGCAGGACCCUCAAGACCUGCAUAUUUUCUUGAUGGACAUGAUCUUUAUAUGGAGGUUGAGUAUAGGAUAAAGAAUGUUCUACUUUUCUGCUUCUUCAUGUGCAUCAUUUAUCUCCUCAAUUUUCCUGGCAUUUAGAUUUGGUGGAAUCUAGAGUGUGUAUUUGAUCCUUGUAAAUGACCCUCACUUUCAUACACAAAGUGAGGCAACCUUACUUCCUUCUGCAACCAAUCUAGGAAUAUCCUGGGAAAAGAAUUGCCUCUCAAAGCUGCUUGCACAAGCAGCCUACACUCUGGCUAAGCAAGGGGAGAAGAAACACUUCCCACAUCCAGGGCUGUCCAAAAGAACUUUCUGUGAUGAGAGAAAUGUUCUAUAUCUGCAGUGUCCAAUAUGGCAACCAGUAGUAAACACUUAAAAUGUGUCUAGUAUGACUGAGGAAGUAAAAUGUAGGUUUUAUUGAAUUUUAAUUAUUUUUAUUUUAAAUAGCUACAUCGUGCUAGUGGCUAUUGUACUGGACAGUGCAGUCUACACCUUUCUUUUUAUUGUGUUAUAGAACUUGUGGGAGAGAUAUGGGCCAGUCGUGUUCUUGUGUCCCAUGGUCUUCAUUAUUCUACCUUACCAUUGAACUUGUCUCAGAGUAAAAGUAGCAAUGGUACUUUAGAGCUAAACUCAAGAUGCUAACUUGACAUCUAUACAUUGCACAUUUUCCUAUAACAAAUAGAAUGGUCUUCUGGGAAUAGGUCUUGUGCCUGAUUGUAGUGAUACUUAUUAAUACAAAACAUGGCAGUGCUGGUCCACUAACCUGCUUUGUGACUGUUUGUGUUCCUAGUCAGAGUGAUUUAGCAGAAACUAUUUUGUUUUAGUCAUGCAGUUUAUUCUGUGUUACUUUAUUUUUGUAAUAUUAUGACUGCUAAAUGAUUAUUCUGUGGAUGUUUUUCAAAAUAUGUCAGUGGUUUAUUUUUUUAAAGAGACUGUGAAAUAAAUUAUUAUAUGCAACUCAGUUUUUUGUGUGAUUUCUUUUGGUGGAGGUGAAUUAUUAUUACCCAUACU